AUUGAACGCUGGCGGCAGGCCUAACACAUGCAAGUCGAACGAGUGGCGGACGUUUUUUUUAUGUCUUGGAAACUGCCUGAUGGAUGGGGAUCACUACUUCAAACUGUCUCUAAUACCGCCUACCAUCCUAUUUUCCCAGAUUGGAUUGGCUAGUAGGGGGGUUAACGGCUCACCAAGGCGACGAUCCCUCGCUGGUCUGAGAGGAUGACCAGCAACACUGGAACUGAGACACGGUCCAGACUCCUACGUGAGGCAGCAGUGGGGAAUAUUGCACAAUGGGCGCAAGCCUGAUGCAGCCAUGCCGCGUGUAUGAAGAAGGCCUUCGGGUUGUAAAGUACUUUCAGCGGGGAGGCGUUAACCGAAGAAGAAGCAACGGCUAACUCCGUGCCAGCAGCCGCGGUAAUAC
rnacentral:rRNA from 1 species